rnacentral:rRNA from 1 species
CCUACGGGAGGCAGCAGUGGGGAAUAUUGGGCAAUGGGCGCAAGCCUGACCCAGCAACGCCGCGUGAAGGAAGAAGGCUUUCUGGUUGUAAACUUCUUUUGUCAGGGAAGAGUAGAAGACUGUACCUGACGCAUCAGCCACGGCUAACUACGUGCCAUCAGCCGCGGUAAUACGGAGGUGGCAAGCGUUGUCCGGGUUUCCUGGGUGUAAAGGGCGGGUAGCCGGGUUGAAAAGUCCGAUGUGAAAUCCUACGGCUUAACCGCAGAACUGCAUUUGAAACUGUUGAGCUUGAGUACGGGAGAGGCAGAUGGAAUGCCUAGUGUAGCGGUGAAAUGCGUAGAUAUUAGGAGGAACACCAGUGGCGAAGGCGGUCUGCUGGACAGCAACUGACGGUGAGGCGCGAAAGCGUGGGGAGCAAACAGGAUUAGAUACCCCAGUAGUC